UACUUAUAUCGAGAUUGAGCUUGCUGUCUCUCGGUCAGCGAGAACAGCUGAGGUUUUCUUUAGGAACGACUUUCUUAGCCUUCUCUACUUUUGGGCUCAUUUUAGAGAUCUUGUCCCCCUCCCCAACCUUGUAGCAUUUGGAGGAGCAGGAAAUGACACCAGAGCUUUCUGUGCCCCAGACGAGGACUUUCUGAUUGAGGGCUUCUCUGGCGUCACUCAGGAUUGGGGAGAAUAGUAUUCAAUAAUGGGGAGGAGCUAGGACCCCACCUGUUUUGUCUCCAUCUCCUCACCUCUCCUUCUGCCCAAGUGCACAGGCUCCUUAACUUUCUGUCCCAUUCACCUUUCCUCUACAGAGCCAAUUGAGCAGCAGGGAACCUACUCAGAGCUGAAUAAGCGAAGUCUUGAUCUGCCCUGGCAGGGCCAAAAAUCACAGGGCACGAAGGGCAGAAGAUCAGCGAGUGAGCCGUCAGUGACCUACACAGAGCUGAAACAGCAUAAUCGACCUCAGUGGUGCAGCCCAUCUGAGAAUGCCCAGAGUAAAGGUACCACAGGCCACCUGCCCCAGCCUCAGUCGCCUGCAUGAAUCUAACAGGUUUAGGUAUUUUACCAUCCUUAGCCAAGGGGACCAGCAAGUUGAGUUUGUGUUUUUGAAGAAUCCUCUUGGGGAUGCCUAUUAAGUGCAAUUUCCCCAUAUAAUUACAAUUUUGCUUUUAUUCAGAUAUUCCCAGUAAGGGCAGUACUUCCCAGUGUGAUUUUUUAUCAGUUGUUCUCUUUCUUGAUGUGUCUCUGGAAUUUCCACAUGGGCUUGUUUGGAUUUGUCAUUAGUAUUAUGUCUGUUAUUGUUGGUGUUGUUGUUUGACAUCUUUAUUGGGCUAGAUCAGUCCAGGGACACCCCAAAACCUCUCCAAAGGCUGACCAUUCCCUUUCAGGUUCAUAAGGAGCCACCCUCACCUAAAGGAAACCAUGGGUUGAAGCUUGAGGGAAGCUCACCAGGAUGCGGCUGCUGGGAGGAGAUAGAGACCAGCCAGGGCAGCUGCCCUGUUCUUAACCCACUCCUCUCUCCACACAAAUGUGUGGAGAACCUGGGGAGCGCCACAUCCCCGAGCAGACUGUGGAGGGAAGGUAGCUGAUGAUUCACCCUCCCACAAACAGCAGACUCACAGAGCCCAACUGCCAUCUCUUUUCACCUCCUUACCACUAUCUUCCCCUGCCCUGACAUGAGGAAAUGAUGUUUGUUUGAAUUGUGGAUUCCCAGUGACAACCUUAAAACAGGCUAAGAUUGACAGGUUUUCCAGCAGGAUCACAUGGUGAGUCUCCUUGGGUAAUUCAUCAAAGAAAUCAAGAAACCUCAAAGCACAACACAACCAGCAUCCACUGCACUUCAUUCUAAUUUGACAAUACAUGUACAGCUCUCCUACAAUCCCACACAUCCCUUCACUUUGCUCAGGAUCUACCUCAACCUUACAACAUCACUGUGCAGCUAUAUUCACUUCCAGGCUCUUUAGACUCUUGCAGAAUUUAUCUUCUCAAGUGCAGGGAUUGUGUUUACCAACUCUGUCAGAGUCUCCCAUGAGCUUAGCUCAGUGUGCUCUGCAAAUUGUAAGGCAUUAAUUCUGACUCUUUUAUUUCCCUUCAGAUAUUUCUGUCUCUUCCCAACAAUUUUCACUCCGAUUCUCAAAUGAUGACUAGGCUUUGGACAGUGUUUAGAAAUGAAAAAUAAGGUACAUCUUCAAAACAUAGUGGCAGAAAUUUGUAGGCAAACUCUGCUUCAUCAUCCACCCUGUCCCAGCUCCAGAUUAUAAAAUCUUUGAGUGCAGAAUUGAUGUCUCCUUACUCUAUUUUACUCUCUUGGGCACAUUAUGCAGCACUUUGCACAAAAAAUGUCACUGAUAGAUUGAACUCUCCUCUACCCCAGUUCUCAUAAACAUAUGCUUCAGAAGGAGUCAUAGGUCAGGUUAGAAAGUUUGUUAGAGUGAGCAAAAUGAAGGUCUGUGUUCUUUGGAUUUUAAUAUGUUGCCUAUGCUCUUUAAACCUCUCCAGCCCACUCUCCAUGUCUCCCUCUUUGACUCUUUUUCUAUCAGUUAUAUUUCUCUCUGUCAUUGGCUAUAUUUCUCUCUUCACCUCGUACCUUUUCUAUCUCUCUUCCUCUUUCUUGGACUAAAGGUGUAUUUGUAUGAGUCAAAAUAAAGAAUUGAGGUUGUCAGUUCUAAAGAAAAAAAUGAUAGAAGAUAAGUGAGUUGUUAAUAGAAAUUGCGUAAAAGGUGAAGGGAGAAAUUAUUUCUCUAAGACAUGUCACGUUUUAGUGGGUAAAUUAAGAUUUCAGGGCAUUUUGGGUGUUUGAGGACAGAGAUAUUUUUUUCUGUUGCAAAGAUUAUCAUUAUUGACAUUAUUAUCACUACUAGUAGGUUCACAUAGUACAGUCUGGAAGUUCAAUGCAGUAACUGUAGGAAUCUUCUGCCUUGCAUUACUGGCCACAACGGGUUUCUUGGCAGCCCAAGGUAAAUAACUUUAAAACCAGUCCUAAAAUAGUGAACAAACUUAGCCUUUUAAAUGACUUGCAUCUAAAGAAUGAUCUAAAUAGUGCAAUCCUGAUAGUCUUUCUUAUCUGAUUUCUAUAGUGAUCCAGGGACAAGGAGUUUCUACAAACGUCUUUCCAAACCCAUCUCCCAACAACAUCAAAGAGACUGGUAGCUGCGAGCACUGAGUGGUCCAAAUAACUGCCCCAGAGCAGCUCAGACAGAGACCAAAACUGCUUCUUCUGAGGCUGCAGUGCCCCUUAUGUGGAACCAAAGUUUUUGUGUGCACGAGAGAAAGAGGUGGUAGAAACUUGGACAACCAAAGCUCAGGAAACAUCUGAUUCUGCGCAUAAUUCUAACCCCUUCUUGUUAUCUAGAAUGUGACUGGGGCCCUUGUCCAGAGGACUGGAUUCAGUUAAGAAAAAGCUGUUACCUCUUCUCCAAAGAUAAAAAGAACUGGCAUGACAGCAAGAAGACUUGUGCAGCUCUGAAGUCCAGUUUGCUGUGGAUAGACAGCAAGGAAGAGGAGUUCCUGGAAGUGGGAGAGUGGCACAGCUUUCUCCAGUCAUAGGCGCACUUUCAUCGAGACAAAAAGGGGGGGUAACUACGUCUAUCAAAGUGGAAAAUAUGUCUUUGAAAACAACUGUGAGGGUCUCAGGUUGUUCAUUUAUAAGCAGAGGACUCACUAGUCUCUGUUUAUGAAAAACCCUAACUUUGGAAUUUCAUCUCAAUCCCAUCCCAGGUACCUUCUCACAAAGAAUCCUGGAUGCUCACCUGGUCAACUGCACUAAUUUCUUGGUCAUCAAAAUGGUGCCCUUGUUUUUGCAAAGCAAAGUGUUCCUGGGUAGAAUUGGACAUUGUAGACCCUAGAGGAUUAUCCUCCCCAAUGUUUCAAGGCCUCGUGAGAUAUUUCCACUCUAAACUCACUGAUUCCUGUGUGAAAUGAUUCAGUUACAGCUUCUUUAAAGAGAUAGUGAUAUCUCUGUUACAUAAAACAACACCACUCGUCUUCCACACUUGGUUGUCACGCAGUACCAUGCAAUAUCUGUGGCCCACCAUGAAUAAUUAUUACAAAAGAAAAUGAAAUUGUCAGUGACUAUAAUUCUUAGAUUAUUUAACAUAUCCAACUCCCUUCAGGCUCAUGGCUUCAUGAAUCCUGAAAAAUGUUCUGGAAAAAAAAGAAGACUAUCAUAAAGUACCAACUUUUUACAGCUUCCAAAUGGUAUUCAACUGAAUUAGAAAGUCAGAAACAGUGAAAGGUGGUAUUUUCACACACUUUGAAUGGAUCCCAUUCAUUUAACAGGAGUUACUGAUUGUCUCCUGUGCCCGUAGGCCCUCAAAGAGUUCUAUAAGAGCAAAAGACGUUGUUCCUGCCCUUUGAACAAUCUACUGAAGGAUGCAGGCACAAACUGUAUGCUUCUAGUAGGACAAGAAGAAAAACAUGAAUAUGUGGUAUUUCUGGCAGCGAACAGAAAAAUAAAC